AGUGAACGCUGGCGGUAGGCCUAACACAUGCAAGUCGAACGGCAGCACAGGAGAGCUUGCUCUCUGGGUGGCGAGUGGCGGACGGGUGAGGAAUACAUCGGAAUCUACUCUGUCGUGGGGGAUAAAGUAGGGAAACCUACGCUAAUACCGCAUACGACCUACGGGUGAAAGCAGGGGACCUUCGGGCCUUGCGCGAUUGAAUUAGCCGAUGUCGGAUUAGCUAGUUGGCGGGGUAAAGGCCCACCAAGGCGACGAUCCGUAGCUGGUCUGAGAGGAUGAGCAGCCACACUGGAACUGAGACACGGUCCAGACUCCUACGGGAGGCAGCAGUGGGGAAUAUUGGACAAUGGGCGCAAGCCUGAUCCAGCCAUACCGCGUGGGUGAAGAAGGCCUUCGGGUUGUAAAGCCCUUUUGUUGGGAAAGAAAUCCAGCUGGCUAAUACCCGGUUGGGAUGACGGUACCCAAAGAAUAAGCACCGGCUAACUUCGUGCCAGCCGCCGCAGUAA
rnacentral:rRNA from 1 species